UCUCAGACAUUCUGCUGCAGCAUCCUUCUCUCCCAAAUUCUCUUUGUCUUGGCCCUCGUUCUUCCGAGAGUCCUGCCCAUUUGAUCUCUUGCGAGGCCAAUAGGAUUCCCUUUGUAAACCAGAAUCUGGAUCUAACUUCCUGGGCCGACUGCUUAUGAGCCUGGCCUAAUCCUCCUAAGGAUUGGGUGUCAUGGUACAGUAGAGUAUCCAAAACUCACCAAGCCAUAUGGGAAACUAUAGGAAUAGCCGAUGCUCUAUCAUUAUCCUUGUCUCCCCUUGAGAAGCAUGAGAACCUUCUGAAAACCAUCGGAUACUUUUGGUCUGAUGCCCUGAACUGCUUCAUGUUUGGCCACGGCCCCAUGACACCAACUCUGCUGGAUGUGGUCAUGAUCACUGGUCUAGACAUUGCAUCCCCAAGCCCCUCUGCUUUUAUGCUGCCAAAGGUCCCUUUUACACUCUCCUCCAAAACAGAGUGUACAAGCUGGGGUGCCUACCUUAGACGUCAUAUGAAAACCAAAGGCCCUGUGACCGAGAAAGAACACACGGCCUUCCUGAAUUUCUGGCUGGAGCACUUCAUAUUCUGUGGCCCUUCACUUGCCCCAACCAAAAAUUACCUUUCCCUGGCCUAUGAACUCGCCAAAGGCACUCAGCUUGGCAUCGGCAAACUAUUCCUUGGAGAGGUCUAUCGAUAUCUCCAACUGAUGUCUGUCAACCUGUUCUCCCAAAAGACAGUCAAAACAGGAGGCCCCUGGUGGUUUAUUCAGCUAUGGGCCCAGCUGUACUUCCAAAACCAGAUCCCAAACUCUCCACCUUUAGCCACUUGCACCUUCCCAGAUGCUAAUGGGAGGCAGAUCCGAUGCACUAGCUACGGCCAGGCUCUAUGUAGCCUUCCAGGUGGCAAACUGAUCCCCAAGGAGGCAUCAGAGUGGUUCAGGAUUUUCUUCCAAGGCCUGGGCAAUCCCCUGUUCUUUCCUUACACUGAAUCUGGAGAUUUUGAAAAUCCAGUCUCCUUCAGGCUAGACAGCUUUGCCGAUGACCCUAGCACUCGGCACUUGUAUUCCUUCAUGAUCCGUCCCUGCUUCCUUCCAGUUGGCAUGAGCACCUCUAACAGGAUCAUCAAACCUGGUUAUGAGUCUUACCAGCCGGUCGUAGUAGCCCGGCAGUUUGGUCUUGGGCAAGUAUCCCCACAUUUCUUCCUUCACCACUUGACAGAAAGCAGAGCUGAGUUGCCUGAUGUCCUCACCGGCCAGAGGUGUUACUCCUUCUUUGAUGCUCUAGCUAUUCCAAUCCCUCACAACCUCCGUUUCACCUCGUCAAUCGAUGGUUUUGAAACCUGGUGGUCAAUGUGGAAGACCCAUGCUUUCAGAAGAGCUCUAGGACCGUUGCUGAAGCAACUGGAUGCUGAAUAUGAUAUUCCCGCGGAACAGGUACUACUACUCACAAAUUUCUUGCAGUGGCUUACAAUGAUUGUUUGUAACCUGGCUCUAUUUCCUUGCAGCAACAAGAUGGUCCAGCACCUGCGCAAGCUGACGGCUCCCCCUUCAAAUUCCUCCCACCGGCUCCGGUGGUUCUCUUCUGCAAAAGCUCACCACCCUUGAAAAAGGUUGUGAUGCAGAGCCAGCUGAUUUCACAAAAAUCGGCUCCUAAGAGCAAAGCAUCUUCUGGGCCAACUGCCCCCCGAGCUUCAAUCAAGGCAAGGAAAGCAGUCAGGAAAGUAGCUGCCAGGAAGACCUCGAAGCGCCAAAACCCUACUCCCGCUCAAGAAAGUUCGCACGUAAGCUGAUCCAUGCCUUGGCUAAUUUCAUCUAUCCUUCUAGACUUCUGCAACAUGCUUGUAUUUCUUUUACAGACCUCCACCGAAGAGAACUCCAGCGAGGAGACGCAGUCCAGUCGAAGGGACUCGAGCUCAGGCAACUCUGGGAAAACCACCACGCAGAGCCAGCCAGACUCGCCACCGCCGGCUUCCAAGAAAAGGUCAGCUCCCGAACCUUCUGCCCUCCAAGCUCCAAUCAAAGCAGGGCUACGCACAAAGAGCCGAUGCAUCAAGAGAGCUCGCAAAGAACCGCAAGUUUCUUCAGCAAGUCAGGAGGUUUUAAUUACUCCCCCUGGCUCAUAUCUCAUACUAACCCAUCGCUACUCGCAUCGGCUAACCACUCCCUUUGCAGACUAACGACACGUCUAGUGGAGAAGUCGAGGAGGUACUGAUGCCAACCGCCACCCUAGACCUAGCACCCUCCAAAAGUGUAGCUGACAAAGCUGCCAACUUAGCCAAGCCCACGGCAGAAACGCAAGAGCCGAUCAUUUCAUCAUCGGCCGUUCCUCUGGUCUUAGGAGAGGGUUGUGACCUCUCAAGCUUGCUAACUUUCGACCCUGAAUCAAUUGAACCAGCUACUUCCAGGGUAAGCGAAGAGCUAGGACCCAGCACUACCAAUGGCCAACUCCAGCGCCUCAAGGCUUUGCUUUCCUCCUCAAUUGAGGCAUUGGUUGAAAACCCCGAGGAAGUGAAAGGCAUUCUUGAGGACAUUCAGCCCCAUCUCCCGGUGACACUGCAGGUGAAACUCUGGCCAGUUGUGACUCUGUCAGCCUUCAGGUCAAGGGUGAAGUUGGCUCGUCAGAGAAUCGACCUACGCCACGCCCAGCUUCCGUUGAAAGCCGAUAUUGCAAACAAGUGCCAACGGCUCAAUGAGAAAAAGGCUGCCUUGGACGCCAAAACUGACACCUCUAUCAGCAGCACCGAACUUGAGACCCUGCGCAAGGAACUGGAGGAUCUUGAAGAGAGGGUCAGGGUAACCAAACAGCUUAUCCAAGAUAAAGAAGCUCUCAUUGCCCACUCUCAAGAUGAAGCAGAAGGCCUCAAGGUUGAACUGAAAACUGAUCUGGCCGAAAUACGUGCUCUGAACAGACAGUUGGUGACAGGCAAGGAUGAAGAUGAUGAGACCGAGAUCGCCGAGGUGGAUCGUGUCCGUGCUGACGCCCUCCAUGCCCUCGAGGCAUUCCUUCAGUAAAGCCUCUCUAUGUAAACUGAUAACUGCUCAAUUGAGUUUGUACCUCUAGAGUCGAUGGCUGUGCAUCGGCUUUUUAGUCUAAAGUCGAUGUCUGUGCAUCGGCUGUAUUUUAUGUCCUGUUGCUUCGCAU